rnacentral:lncRNA from 1 species
UUUUAAAGCUCCGCGUGCUCUGUGCUUGUGACCUGGGGUUAGGUGAGAGUUGUUUCUGAUACCUACUGGUGGUAGGGAAUUCAAAUUUGAAUUUGAAUUAUAGGUUUUAGGGUUUAUACAUAGGUCUAUGUGUAAUUUGUGGAUUAGUUGGAGAGCAGAUGGGUUUGGUCGCAAAUCGGCAAGUAAAUCGGAUGAAACAAAAUCGUAGUUU